AUUGAACGCUGGCGGCAUGCUUUACACAUGCAAGUCGAACGGCAGCACGGACUUCGGUCUGGUGGCGAGUGGCGAACGGGUGAGUAAUACAUCGGAACGUACCCAGUAAUGGGGGAUAACUAUCCGAAAGGAUAGCUAAUACCGCAUACGCCCUACGGGGGAAAGAAGGGGAUCGCAAGACCUCUUGUUAUUGGAGCGGCCGAUGGCUGAUUAGCUAGUUGGUAGGGUAAAGGCCUACCAAGGCAACGAUCAGUAGCGGGUCUUAGAGGACGAUCAGCCACACUGGAACGGAGACACGGUCCAGACUCCUACGGGAGGCAGCAGUGGGGAAUCUUGGACAAUGGGCGCAAGCCUGAUCCAGCAAUGCCGCGUGCGUGAAGAAGGCCUUCGGGUUGUAAAGCGCUUUUGUCAGGGAGCAAAUCCUUGUGGCUAAUACCCACCGGGGAUGAGAGUACCUGAAGAAUAAGGACCGGCUAACUACGUGCCAGCCGCCGCUGUAA
rnacentral:rRNA from 1 species